rnacentral:rRNA from 1 species
GGGUUGUGAGGUUAAGUGACUAAGCGUACACGGUGGAUGCCCUGGCAGUCAGAGGCGAUGAAGGACGUGCUAAUCUGCGAAAAGCGUCGGUAAGGUGAUAUGAACCGUUAUAACCGGCGAUGUCCGAAUGGGGAAACCCAGUGUGAUUCGUCACACUAUCGUUAACUGAAUACAUAGGUUAACGAGGCGAACCGGGGGAACUGAAACAUCUAAGUACCCCGAGGAAAAGAAAUCAACCGAGAUUCCCCCAGUAGCGGCGAGCGAACGGGGAGCAGCCCAGAGUCUGAAUCAGCUUGUGUGUUAGUGGAACGGUCUGGAAAGUCCGACGGUACAGGGUGAUAGUCCCGUACACCAAAAUGCACAGGUUGUGAACUCGAAGAGUAGGGCGGGACACGUGGUAUCCUGUCUGAAUAUGGGGGGACCAUCCUCCAAGGCUAAAUACUCCUGACUGACCGAUAGUGAACCAGUACCGUGAGGGAAAGGCGAAAAGAACCCCGGCGAGGGGAGUGAAAAAGAACCUGAAACCGUGUACGUACAAGCAGUGGGAGCACCUUCGGGUGUGACUGCGUACCUUUUGUAUAAUGGGUCAGCGACUUAUAUUCUGUAGCAAGGUUAACCGUAUAGGGGAGCCGCAGGGAAACCGAGUCUUAACUGGGCGUUAAGUUGCAGGGUAUAGACCCGAAACCCGGUGAUCUAGCCAUGGGCAGGUUGAAGGUUGGGUAACACUAACUGGAGGACCGAACCGACUAAUGUUGAAAAAUUAGCGGAUGACUUGUGGCUGGGGGUGAAAGGCCAAUCAAACCGGGAGAUAGCUGGUUCUCCCCGAAAGCUAUUUAGGUAGCGCCUCGUGAAUUCAUCUUCGGGGGUAGAGCACUGUUUCGGCUAGGGGGUCAUCCCGACUUACCAACCCGAUGCAAACUACGAAUACCGAAGAAUGUUAUCACGGGAGACACACGGCGGGUGCUAACGUCCGUCGUGAAGAGGGAAACAACCCAGACCGCCAGCUAAGGUCCCAAAGUCAUGGUUAAGUGGGAAACGAUGUGGGAAGGCACAGACAGCCAGGAUGUUGGCUUAGAAGCAGCCAUCAUUUAAAGAAAGCGUAAUAGCUCACUGGUCGAGUCGGCCUGCGCGGAAGAUGUAACGGGGCUAAACCAUGCACCGAAGCUGCGGCAGCGACACUAUGUGUUGUUGGGUAGGGGAGCGUUCUGUAAGCCUGCGAAGGUGUGCUGUGAGGCAUGCUGGAGGUAUCAGAAGUGCGAAUGCUGACAUAAGUAACGAUAAAGCGGGUGAAAAGCCCGCUCGCCGGAAGACCAAGGGUUCCUGUCCAACGUUAAUCGGGGCAGGGUGAGUCGACCCCUAAGGCGAGGCCGAAAGGCGUAGUCGAUGGGAAACAGGUUAAUAUUCCUGUACUUGGUGUUACUGCGAAGGGGGGACGGAGAAGGCUAUGUUAGCCGGGCGACGGUUGUCCCGGUUUAAGCAUGUAGGCUGGUUAUCCAGGCAAAUCCGGAUAAUCAAGGCUGAGGUGUGAUGACGAGGCACUACGGUGCUGAAGUAACAAAUGCCCUGCUUCCAGGAAAAGCCUCUAAGCAUCAGGUAACAUCAAAUCGUACCCCAAACCGACACAGGUGGUCAGGUAGAGAAUACCAAGGCGCUUGAGAGAACUCGGGUGAAGGAACUAGGCAAAAUGGUGCCGUAACUUCGGGAGAAGGCACGCUGGUGUGUAGGUGAAGUCCCUGCGGAUGGAGCUGAGACCAGUCGAAGAUACCAGCUGGCUGCAACUGUUUAUUAAAAACACAGCACUGUGCAAACACGAAAGUGGACGUAUACGGUGUGACGCCUGCCCGGUGCCGGAAGGUUAAUUGAUGGGGUUAUCCGUAAGGAGAAGCUCUUGAUCGAAGCCCCGGUAAACGGCGGCCGUAACUAUAACGGUCCUAAGGUAGCGAAAUUCCUUGUCGGGUAAGUUCCGACCUGCACGAAUGGCGUAAUGAUGGCCAGGCUGUCUCCACCCGAGACUCAGUGAAAUUGAACUCGCUGUGAAGAUGCAGUGUACCCGCGGCAAGACGGAAAGACCCCGUGAACCUUUACUAUAGCUUGACACUGAACAUUGAGCCUUGAUGUGUAGGAUAGGUGGGAGGCUUUGAAGCGUGGACGCCAGUCUGCGUGGAGCCAACCUUGAAAUACCACCCUUUAAUGUUUGAUGUUCUAACGUUGGCCCCUUACCGGGGUUGCGGACAGUGUCUGGUGGGUAGUUUGACUGGGGCGGUCUCCUCCCAAAGCGUAACGGAGGAGCACGAAGGUUAGCUAAUCCUGGUCGGACAUCAGGAGGUUAGUGCAAUGGCAUAAGCUAGCUUGACUGCGAGCGUGACGGCGCGAGCAGGUGCGAAAGCAGGUCAUAGUGAUCCGGUGGUUCUGAAUGGAAGGGCCAUCGCUCAACGGAUAAAAGGUACUCCGGGGAUAACAGGCUGAUACCGCCCAAGAGUUCAUAUCGACGGCGGUGUUUGGCACCUCGAUGUCGGCUCAUCACAUCCUGGGGCUGAAGUAGGUCCCAAGGGUAUGGCUGUUCGCCAUUUAAAGUGGUACGCGAGCUGGGUUUAGAACGUCGUGAGACAGUUCGGUCCCUAUCUGCCGUGGGCGCUGGAGAAUUGAGGGGGGCUGCUCCUAGUACGAGAGGACCGGAGUGGACGCAUCACUGGUGUUCGGGUUGUCAUGCCAAUGGCACUGCCCGGUAGCUAAAUGCGGAAGAGAUAAGUGCUGAAAGCAUCUAAGCACGAAACUUGCCCCGAGAUGAGUUCUCCCUGAGACUUUAAGUCUCCUGAAGGAACGUUGAAGACGACGACGUUGAUAGGCCGGGUGUGUAAGCGCAGCGAUGCGUUGAGCUAACCGGUACUAAUGAACCGUGAGGCUUAACCUUACAACGCCGAAG